rfam:Schistosoma mansoni strain Puerto Rico chromosome 2, complete genome
AUCCAGCUAACGAGUUCUAAUUAGGACGAAACGCGCGUUCUGGAU